rnacentral:rRNA from 1 species
CUACGGGUCGCUGCAGUGGGGAAUAUUGGACAAUGGGCGAAAGCCUGAUCCAGCAAUACCGCGUGAAUGAUGAAGGCCUUAGGGUUGUAAAGUUCUUUUAGUUGGAAAGAUAAUGACGGUACCAACAGAAAAAGCCCCGGCUAACUCCGUGCCAGCAGCCGCGGUAAGACGGAGGGGGCUAGCGUUGUUCGGAAUUACUGGGCGUAAAGGGCGUGUAGGCGGAUUAGUAAGUUGGGAGUGAAAGCCCGGGGCUUAACCUCGGAACUGCUUUCAAAACUGCUAGUCUUGAGUGAAGUAGGGGAUGAUGGAAUUCCUAGUGUAGAGGUGAAAUUCUUAGAUAUUAGGAGGAACACCGGUGGCGAAGGCGGUCAUCUGGACUUCAACUGACGCUGAGGCGCGAAAGCGUGGGGAGCAAACAGGAUUAGAUACCCCAGUAGUC